AAAUUUUUUUCCAUAUUAAUGAAGUAGCGACUAGAGAGAUUAAGUAUAGGUUAGGGAAGUUGAAGUUAGAGCAACAAAAGGAGAGACGAGAAGGAAGAAGUUGGUGGCAUUGAAUACUUUGGUGACGUCCUCGUCUUAAUGAUAUAACUUUCUGCUAACACCAUUGAAUUGCGCAUGUGAAGGGCCCUUAUUUAAUACUUAAUGCAUGUUAAAUUCACCUCUUGGUCCGGCCCAACAUUUAAUAGCUUUUCGACGCAUUUAUUGCUUUGCUUCAACGCAGGCCGCAAGGCUCUUAUCAGUUACGCGAACCACUUGGCACUUAGUUAUUUCACCUGCCUCGGUGUGAAUAUUCGGUUCUCUGUAUUAACAUUAUAUAUUCUAAGUGCGUCAACCGGCUUUUACUAACUACUAUCUUCUUGAGGUUGGGCCGACCUUUACUUAUUAACCUAACUUAUUAACUUUAACGUCACUAAUAGGCCAUUAAGCCACUUCUGAAUACCGCCUACGGCAAUAUUUUAGAAGGUGUGUAUGAGCGCCAAUUAUCAUUGAGAUACCUUAAAAUCUGCGCAUAUUGAUCAUACUUUCUAUUGUCUCUUGAUAUAGAUUCUAAUAGCCUUGGUUCUACCACUUUCAGUAUAAUUAAGUUCCUGUCUUACCGUGGAUGCAACAGCUGCCUACCGUCUUAUUGUGACUGGCUCCUCGUCCUAUUUAGAUACUAUCCAGUUCCUGUUAUCAGUUAGGUUUCGAGCACUAAAUGUGGACUCCGCCUCCGAGAUUCUCUUGUGCUCUCGGAGAUCUGCAUUGGACCCAAUAAAAGUUAUUAGAGCAGU